AUUGAACGCUGGCGGCAGGCCUAACACAUGCAAGUCGAGCGGAGCGGCGGACGGGUGAGUAAUGCCUAGGAAUCUGCCUGGUAGUGGGGGAUAACGUCCGGAAACGGGCGCUAAUACCGCAUGCUAUCAGAUGAGCCUAGGUCGGAUUGGCUGGGUGGUGGGGUAAAGGCCUACCAAGGCGACGAUCCGUAACUGGUCUGAGCGGAGGAUCAGUCAAACUGGAACUGAGACACGGUCCAGACUCCUACGGGAGGGAGCAGUGGGGAAGAUUGGACGAGGGGCGAAAGCCUGAUCCAGCCAUGCCGCGUGUGUGAAGAAGGUCUUCGGAGUGUAAAGCACUUUAAGUUGGGAGGCGGUACCAACAGAAUAAGCACCGGCUAACUUCGUGCCAGCCGCCGCGGUAAUUC
rnacentral:rRNA from 1 species